GACGAACGCUGGCGGCGUGGAUUAGGCAUGCAAGUCGAACGGUAGGAUACCUUCGGGUAUCUGAGAGUGGCGAACGGGUGAGUAACACGUAGGUGAUCUACCCUCAAGAUUGGGACAACCCAGGGAAACUUGGGCUAAUACCGGAUGAAAGCAGCAGUGAUGUUGUUUGAAAGGUGGCGUAAGCUGCCGUUUGGGGAUGAGCCUGCGCUCUAUUAGUUAGUUGGCGGGGUAAAGGCCCACCAAGGCGAUGAUAGAUAGGCGGCCUUAACGGGUGGUCGCCCACACUGGGAUUGAGAUACGGCCCAGACUCCUACGGGAGGCAGCAGUCGAGAAUAGUCUACAAUGGCCAAAGGCUGAUAGUGCGACGCCGCGUGAACGAAGAAGCCCUUCGGGUGUAAAGUUCUUUUAUAUGUGAGCAGUGCUUUCUAUGUGAACAGCAUGGGGAGAGAGAUAUUAGCAUAUGAAUAAGCAACGGCUAACUCCGUGCCAGCA
rnacentral:rRNA from 1 species